rnacentral:rRNA from 1 species
UACGUAGGGUGCAAGCGUUGUCCGGAAUUAUUGGGCGUAAAGAGCUCGUAGGCGGCCUGUUGCGUCCGCUGUGAAAGCCCGGGGCUUAACCCCGGGUCGGCAGUGGAUACGGGCAGGCUAGAGGUAGGUAGGGGAGAAUGGAAUUCCCGGUGUAGCGGUGAAAUGCGCAGAUAUCGGGAGGAACACCGGUGGCGAAGGCGGGUCUCUGGGCCGAUACUGACGCUGAGGAGCGAAAGCGUGGGGAGCGAACAGG